AUUGAACGCUGGCGGCAUGCCUUACACAUGCAAGUCGAACGGCAGCACGGGUGCUUGCCCCUGGUGGCGAGUGGCGAACGGGUGAGUAAUACAUCGGAACAUGUCCUGUAGUGGGGGAUAGCCCGGCGAAAGCCGGAUUAAUACCGCAUACGAUCCACGGAUGAAAGCGGGGGACCUUCGGGCCUCGCGCUAUGGGGUUGGCCGAUGGCUGAUUAGCUAGUUGGUGGGGUAAAGGCCUACCAAGGCGACGAUCAGUAGCUGGUCUGAGAGGACGACCAGCCACACUGGGACUGAGACACGGCCCAGACUCCUACGGGAGGCAGCAGUGGGGAAUUUUGGACAAUGGGCGAAAGCCUGAUCCAGCAAUGCCGCGUGUGUGAAGAAGGCCUUCGGGUUGUAAAGCACUUUUGUCCGGAAAGAAAUCCUUGACUCUAAUACAGUCGGGGGAUGACGGUACCGGAAGAAUAAGCACCGGCUAACUACGUG
rnacentral:rRNA from 1 species